rnacentral:rRNA from 1 species
AACCGAGUCUUAACCGGGCGUUAAGUUGCAGGGUAUAGACCCGAAACCCGGUGAUCUAGCCAUGGGCAGGUUGAAGGUUGGGUAACACUAACUGGAGGACCGAACCGACUAAUGUUGAAAAAUUAGCGGAUGACCUGUGGCUGGGGGUGAAAGGCCAAUCAAACCGGGAGAUAGCUGGUUCUCCCCGAAAGCUAUUUAGGUAGCGCCUCGUGAAUUCAUCUCCGGGGGUAGAGCACUGUUUCGGCUAGGGGGCCAUCCCGGCUUACCAACCCGAUGCAAACUGCGAAUACCGGAGAAUGUUAUCACGGGAGACACACGGCGGGUGCUAACGUCCGUCGUGAAGAGGGAAACAACCCAGACCGCCAGCUAAGGUCCCAAAGUCAUGGUUAAGUGGGAAACGAUGUGGGAAGGCCCAGACAGCCAGGAUGUUGGCUUAGAAGCAGCCAUCAUUUAAAGAAAGCGUAAUAGCUCACUGGUCGAGUCGGCCUGCGCGGAAGAUGUAACGGGGCUAAACCAUGCACCGAAGCUGCGGCAGCGACACUCAGGUGUUGUUGGGUAGGGGAGCGUUCUGUAAGCCUGCGAAGGUGGCCUGUGAGGGUUGCUGGAGGUAUCAGAAGUGCGAAUGCUGACAUAAGUAACGAUAAAGCGGGUGAAAAGCCCGCUCGCCGGAAGACCAAGGGUUCCUGUCCAACGUUAAUCGGGGCAGGGUGAGUCGACCCCUAAGGCGAGGCCGAAAGGCGUAGUCGAUGGGAAACGGGUUAAUAUUCCCGUACUUGGUGUUACUGCGAAGGGGGGACGGAGAAGGCUAUGUUGGCCGGGCGACGGUUGUCCCGGUUUAAGCGUGUAGGUGUGUGUUCCAGGUAAAUCCGGUUCACUUUAACACUGAGGCGUGACGACGAGGCACUACGGUGCUGAAGCAACAAAUGCCCUGCUUCCAGGAAAAGCCUCUAAGCAUCAGGUAACAUCAAAUCGUACCCCAAACCGACACAGGUGGUCAGGUAGAGAAUACCAAGGCGCUUGAGAGAACUCGGGUGAAGGAACUAGGCAAAAUGGUGCCGUAACUUCGGGAGAAGGCACGCUGACAUGUAGGUGAAGUGAUUUACUCAUGGAGCUGAAGUCAGUCGAAGAUACCAGCUGGCUGCAACUGUUUAUUAAAAACACAGCACUGUGCAAACACGAAAGUGGACGUAUACGGUGUGACGCCUGCCCGGUGCCGGAAGGUUAAUUGAUGGGGUCAGCGCAAGCGAAGCUCCUGAUCGAAGCCCCGGUAAACGGCGGCCGUAACUAUAACGGUCCUAAGGUAGCGAAAUUCCUUGUCGGGUAAGUUCCGACCUGCACGAAUGGCGUAAUGAUGGCCAGGCUGUCUCCACCCGAGACUCAGUGAAAUUGAACUCGCUGUGAAGAUGCAGUGUACCCGCGGCAAGACGGAAAGACCCCGUGAACCUUUACUAUAGCUUGACACUGAACAUUGAGCCUUGAUGUGUAGGAUAGGUGGGAGGCUUUGAAGUGUGGACGCCAGUCUGCAUGGAGCCGACCUUGAAAUACCACCCUUUAAUGUUUGAUGUUCUAACGUGGACCCGUGAUCCGGGUUGCGGACAGUGUCUGGUGGGUAGUUUGACUGGGGCGGUCUCCUCCUAAAGAGUAACGGAGGAGCACGAAGGUUGGCUAAUCCUGGUCGGACAUCAGGAGGUUAGUGCAAUGGCAUAAGCCAGCUUGACUGCGAGCGUGACGGCGCGAGCAGGUGCGAAAGCAGGUCAUAGUGAUCCGGUGGUUCUGAAUGGAAGGGCCAUCGCUCAACGGAUAAAAGGUACUCCGGGGAUAACAGGCUGAUACCGCCCAAGAGUUCAUAUCGACGGCGGUGUUUGGCACCUCGAUGUCGGCUCAUCACAUCCUGGGGCUGAAGUAGGUCCCAAGGGUAUGGCUGUUCGCCAUUUAAAGUGGUACGCGAGCUGGGUUUAGAACGUCGUGAGACAGUUCGGUCCCUAUCUGCCGUGGGCGCUGGAGAACUGAGGGGGGCUGCUCCUAGUACGAGAGGACCGGAGUGGACGCAUCACUGGUGUUCGGGUUGUCAUGCCAAUGGCACUGCCCGGUAGCUAAAUGCGGAAGAGAUAAGUGCUGAAAGCAUCUAAGCACGAAACUUGCCCCGAGAUGAGUUCUCCCUGAGACUUUAAGUCUCCUGAAGGAACGUUGAAGACGACGACGUUGAUAGGCCGGGUGUGUAAGCGCAGCGAUGCGUUGAGCUAACCGGUACUAAUGAACCGUGAGGCUUAACCUUACAACGCCGAAG